rnacentral:rRNA from 1 species
GAUGAACGCUAGCGGCAGGCCUACCACAUGCAAGUCGAGGGGUAACUAGAGUGAUAGCAAUAUUACUUUGGCUAGACCGGCGCACGGGUGCGUAACACGUAUGCAACCUACCUUAUACUGGGGAAUAACUUCGAGAAAUCGGCGCUAAUACCCCAUAACAUUGCGAAGAGGCAUCUCUUUGCAAUUAAAGCUCCGGCGGUAUAAGAUGGGCAUGCGUCCAAUUAGCUAGUUGGUGAGGUAACGGCUCACCAAGGCUACGAUUGGUAGGGGUUCUGAGAGGAUGAUCCCCCACACUGGAACUGAGAACCGGACCAGCCGCCUACGGGAGGCUGCAGUGAGGAAUAUUGAGCAAUGGACGAAAGUCUGACGCAGCCAUGCCGCGUGCAGGAUGACGGCCCUAUGGGUUGUAAACUGCUUUUGUACGGGAAUAAACCCUUCUACGUGUAGGAGGCUGAAGGUACCGUAAGAAUAAGCACCGGCUAACUCCGUGCCAGCAGCCGCCGUAACAC